rnacentral:rRNA from 1 species
CACGUAGGGCGCAAGCGUUUGUCCGGAAUUAUUGGGCGUAAAGAGCUCGUAGGUGGUUUGUUACGUCUGCUGUGAAAUCCUAGGGCUUAACCCUGGGCUUGCAGUGGAUACGGGCAGACUAGAGGUAGGUAGGGGAGAAUGGAAUUCCUGGUGUAGCGGUGAAAUGCGCAGAUAUCAGGAGGAACACCGGUGGCGAAGGCGGUUCUCUGGGCCUUACCUGACACUGAGGAGCGAAAGCGUGGGGAGCGAACAGG